GACCCCGUAGCUCAACUGGAUAGAGCAACAGCCUUCUAAGCUGUAGGUUGCGCGUUCGAUUCGCGCCGGGGUCA
rnacentral:tRNA from 1 species